GACAGAGGCCCCCAAGCGUUAGGCGGAAUCACUGGGCUUAAAGCGUGUGUAGGCGGACGCCUAAGUGUCUUGUGAAGUCCCACGGCUCACCCGUGGAACUGCUGGGCAUACUGGGCGUCUUGGGCCAACUAGGGGCAGCCGGAACAAGCGGUGGAGCGGUGAAAUGCGUAGAUAUCGCUUGGAACGCCGAAGGUGAAAACAGGCUGCUGGGGGUUGCGCCGACGCUGAGACACGAAAGCCAGGGGAGCAAACGGGAUUAGAAAACCC
rnacentral:rRNA from 1 species